GGGUUGUGAGGUUAAGCGACUAAGCGUACACGGUGGAUGCCCUGGCAGUCAGAGGCGAUGAAGGACGUGCUAAUCUGCGAUAAGCGUCGGUGAGGUGAUAUGAACCGUUAUAACCGGCGAUUUCCGAAUGGGGAAACCCAGUGUGUUUCGACACACUAUCAUUAACUGAAUCCAUAGGUUAAUGAGGCGAACCGGGGGAACUGAAACAUCUAAGUACCCCGAGGAAAAGAAAUCAACCGAGAUUCCCCCAGUAGCGGCGAGCGAACGGGGAGGAGCCCAGAGUCUGAAUCAGUGUGUGUGUUAGUGGAAGCGUCUGGAAAGGCGUGCGAUACAGGGUGACAGCCCCGUACACAAAAAUGCACAUAUUGUGAGCUCGAUGAGUAGGGCGGGACACGUGGUAUCCUGUCUGAAUAUGGGGGGACCAUCCUCCAAGGCUAAAUACUCCUGACUGACCGAUAGUGAACCAGUACCGUGAGGGAAAGGCGAAAAGAACCCCGGCGAGGGGAGUGAAAAAGAACCUGAAACCGUGUACGUACAAGCAGUGGGAGCCUCUUAAUGGGGUGACUGCGUACCUUUUGUAUAAUGGGUCAGCGACUUAUAUUCUGUAGCAAGGUUAACCGAAUAGGGGAGCCGAAGGGAAACCGAGUCUUAACUGGGCGUUAAGUUGCAGGGUAUAGACCCGAAACCCGGUGAUCUAGCCAUGGGCAGGUUGAAGGUUGGGUAACACUAACUGGAGGACCGAACCGACUAAUGUUGAAAAAUUAGCGGAUGACUUGUGGCUGGGGGUGAAAGGCCAAUCAAACCGGGAGAUAGCUGGUUCUCCCCGAAAGCUAUUUAGGUAGCGCCUCGUGAAUUCAUCUCCGGGGGUAGAGCACUGUUUCGGCAAGGGGGUCAUCCCGACUUACCAACCCGAUGCAAACUGCGAAUACCGGAGAAUGUUAUCACGGGAGACACACGGCGGGUGCUAACGUCCGUCGUGAAGAGGGAAACAACCCAGACCGCCAGCUAAGGUCCCAAAGUCAUGGUUAAGUGGGAAACGAUGUGGGAAGGCCCAGACAGCCAGGAUGUUGGCUUAGAAGCAGCCAUCAUUUAAAGAAAGCGUAAUAGCUCACUGGUCGAGUCGGCCUGCGCGGAAGAUGUAACGGGGCUAAACCAUGCACCGAAGCUGCGGCAGCGACACUAUGUGUUGUUGGGUAGGGGAGCGUUCUGUAAGCCUGUGAAGGUGGCCUGUGAGGGUUGCUGGAGGUAUCAGAAGUGCGAAUGCUGACAUAAGUAACGAUAAAGCGGGUGAAAAGCCCGCUCGCCGGAAGACCAAGGGUUCCUGUCCAACGUUAAUCGGGGCAGGGUGAGUCGACCCCUAAGGCGAGGCCGAAAGGCGUAGUCGAUGGGAAACAGGUUAAUAUUCCUGUACUUGGUGUUACUGCGAAGGGGGGACGGAGAAGGCUAUGUUGGCCGGGCGACGGUUGUCCCGGUUUAAGCGUGUAGGCUGGUUUUCCAGGCAAAUCCGGAAAACCAAGGCUGAGGCGUGAUGACGAAGCACUACGGUGCUGAAGCGACAAAUGCCCUGCUUCCAGGAAAAGCCUCUAAGCAUCAGGUAACAUCAAAUCGUACCCCAAACCGACACAGGUGGUCAGGUAGAGAAUACCAAGGCGCUUGAGAGAACUCGGGUGAAGGAACUAGGCAAAAUGGUGCCGUAACUUCGGGAGAAGGCACGCUGAUAUGUAGGUGAAGCGACUUGCUCGUGGAGCUGAAAUCAGUCGAAGAUACCAGCUGGCUGCAACUGUUUAUUAAAAACACAGCACUGUGCAAACACGAAAGUGGACGUAUACGGUGUGACGCCUGCCCGGUGCCGGAAGGUUAAUUGAUGGGGUUAGCGGUAACGCGAAGCUCUUGAUCGAAGCCCCGGUAAACGGCGGCCGUAACUAUAACGGUCCUAAGGUAGCGAAAUUCCUUGUCGGGUAAGUUCCGACCUGCACGAAUGGCGUAAUGAUGGCCAGGCUGUCUCCACCCGAGACUCAGUGAAAUUGAACUCGCUGUGAAGAUGCAGUGUACCCGCGGCAAGACGGAAAGACCCCGUGAACCUUUACUAUAGCUUGACACUGAACAUUGAGCCUUGAUGUGUAGGAUAGGUGGGAGGCUUUGAAGUGUGGACGCCAGUCUGCAUGGAGCCGACCUUGAAAUACCACCCUUUAAUGUUUGAUGUUCUAACGUUGGCCCGUAAUCCGGGUUGCGGACAGUGUCUGGUGGGUAGUUUGACUGGGGCGGUCUCCUCCUAAAGAGUAACGGAGGAGCACGAAGGUUGGCUAAUCCUGGUCGGACAUCAGGAGGUUAGUGCAAUGGCAUAAGCCAGCUUGACUGCGAGCGUGACGGCGCGAGCAGGUGCGAAAGCAGGUCAUAGUGAUCCGGUGGUUCUGAAUGGAAGGGCCAUCGCUCAACGGAUAAAAGGUACUCCGGGGAUAACAGGCUGAUACCGCCCAAGAGUUCAUAUCGACGGCGGUGUUUGGCACCUCGAUGUCGGCUCAUCACAUCCUGGGGCUGAAGUAGGUCCCAAGGGUAUGGCUGUUCGCCAUUUAAAGUGGUACGCGAGCUGGGUUUAGAACGUCGUGAGACAGUUCGGUCCCUAUCUGCCGUGGGCGCUGGAGAACUGAGGGGGGCUGCUCCUAGUACGAGAGGACCGGAGUGGACGCAUCACUGGUGUUCGGGUUGUCAUGCCAAUGGCACUGCCCGGUAGCUAAAUGCGGAAGAGAUAAGUGCUGAAAGCAUCUAAGCACGAAACUUGCCCCGAGAUGAGUUCUCCCUGAGACUUAGAGUCUCCUGAAGGAACGUUGAAGACGACGACGUUGAUAGGCCGGGUGUGUAAGCGCAGCGAUGCGUUGAGCUAACCGGUACUAAUGAACCGUGAGGCUUAACCUUACAACGCCGAAG
rnacentral:rRNA from 1 species